GAGCCAGUGCUAUGUGGAAGACUUGUGAUUUUGUUGUUCUGAUAUGAUAUGACAACAAGUCACAGCCAGCCUCAUAGCGUGGACUC
rnacentral:pre_miRNA from 7 species